AAUCAACGCUGGCGGCGUGCCUAACACAUGCAAGUCGAACGAGAAAGUGGAGCAAUCCAUGAGUAAAGUGGCGCACGGGUGAGUAACACGUGACUAACCUACCCUUGAGUGGGGGAUAACCUAGGGAAACCUGGGCUAAUACCGCAUAAUACCUACGGGUCAAAGGAGCAAUUCGCUUUAGGAGGGGGUCGGCGGCAGAUUAGUUAGUUGGCGGGGUAAGUGGCCCACCAAGACGAUGAUCNGUAUCCGGCCUGAGAGGGCGCACGGACACACUGGAACUGAAACACGGUCCAGACUCCUACGGGAGGCAGCAGUGGGGAAUUUUGCGCAAUGGGGGAACCCUGACGCAGCAACGCCGCGUGGAGGAUGAAGACCCUUGGGUCGUAAACUCCUUUCGAUCGGGACGAUAAUGACGGUACCGGAAGAAGAAGCCCCGGCUAACUUCGUGCCA
rnacentral:rRNA from 1 species